rnacentral:rRNA from 1 species
GAUGAACGCUGACCGAAUGCUUAACACAUGCAAGUCGAUGGGGAAGUGGUGCUUGCACCAUGGUAACCAUGGCGGACGGGUGAGUAACGCGUAAGGAACUUGCCUGCGGGACUGGGAUAACAGCAGGAAACUGCUGAUAAUACCGGAUAAGGUCAUUAAGCUGCAUAGCUUAGUGAUGAAAGGAGACGCCUGCGGAGAGCCUUGCGUCCUAUUAGCUAGUUGGAGGGGUAACGGCCCACCAAGGCGAAGAUAGGUAGCCGGCCUGAGAGGGUGGACGGCCACAAGGGGACUGAGAUACGGCCCUUACUCCUACGGGAGGCAGCAGUGGGGAAUAGUGGACAAUGGGGGCAACACUGAUCCAGCAAUUCUGUGUGCACGAAGACGGUUUUCGGAGUGUAAAGUGCUUUCAGCAGGGAAGAAGGAAGUGACGGUACCUGCAGAAGAAGCGACGGCUAAAUACGUG